UACUGCGCCGCCUAGUGACCAAAGGUGACGCGGUACGAUAAGAUGGGAAACAACUGGUAUUUUUUAUUGAGGGAUGAAUUUUAGACUCGGUGACAAAGUGAGAGACCUAAAGUGAACUUAGUCCUGCCGCAAACCAACCGAUCGCUCUUCCUUCCAGUUGCCGACGAGGGUGGUGCUUAGGCGGCUUCUCCUCCGGUCGUCUUGCGUUCCCGCCGGCGUCAGAUAUUCCGAUGUGCAUCGGCGCCCGCCGCCUGUUCGACGGAAUGCCUCCGAGCGAGAAGCGCAGCCGAACAGCCGCGUCGAGCGGCGAGGAGCAGAUUGGAUCCCUCCCGAUUCCCGAACGCGGUCCUCCGGUACGUGCUCUCCUUCCGUCUUGCAAUGAGACGUGCGUGCUCCGGUUCUCGUGUUCCCCCGGCUGCUGGUGCGACGUCUGGAAGUCGGUGCCCGUCCUGCGCGUCACAGGGAGCUGUGGCGGUGCGGCGGCGUUCAACAAGUUCGUCAGUCAUCUCCGCCUCUUGCGCGAGCGCUCACCUCUGAUGGAGUUCGAGCUCAGUUUCUUCAGGUACAAUCUUUCAGCCUAUCAAGCCCAUGUAAAAAGCAACUCUCCACGGCGGUGAGGUGGAGACUUCGCUGCAUCAAGUUGCAGAGAGUUGGAGCUGCUGCUGGCCAACGUGCCUUUCGUCAGCGCUUGACGAACUUUAGAGCUUGAGUGUUUACAGUUUUCUCUAGUUGUCUGGCAUUGGAGACUCUACCUUCUAAGUUACUAGGAUUAUUUAAACAGAAAUACUUAUUAAUAAAUUCUCAAAAUAGCUUUAUGGAAAUACUGAUAUUUAUUGGAGAAAAGAAAUGAACAGGUACUACCCAUUUAAAGGAGAAAAAUAAAAAGGCACUAUUUUCUGGCUUAGCCACCAAUAGAAAAGGGUUACAUCUGAUGGUUUAAUUUUCCAUGGACCAGUUUAUGUUGCAUUUUUUAAAAACACCUGUUUAUAUUGCGUUUAUUGUGCUUGCUGCUUGCAUAUACAACAGAAGGUGUGCCAUUUUGCAUAGUUCAAACUCUACCGCCAUGACAAAAAAACAGUCUUUUCAUCGUCAAGGAUAUUAGUAUCCACUCCAUGCAUUAUAAGAGCUACCAAGUAAGUACAAAGUUCAAAAUAAAAUAAAUAAAAAUAAAUGAUCAUCCGAUAAGCUAAAGGGACUGUUCACUUUGAUGUCAUUUUCAACCUUACCAAAUUUUGGUAAAGUUGUUAAAAAAGUGGCUACAUUUAGUUUGCUGCCAAAUUUUAGUAACUAUAUAAGAAAUCCUACUAAAAUUUUGGUAUAGUUGCCAAAAUUUUGGCAACUUGCCAAAAUUUUGGUAAUGCCAAAAUCUAGUAAGGUUUUUUUUAGCAUCAAAGUGAACAGGCCCAAAAUGUAUAUGAAUGAUUGUCUGAAACAAAUUGACCACGUAUGUAUACUCAUAUGCAAAUAUUAAACUUUUUGUAAAAAUCUUACAAACGGCACAUUGGCCUUGUUUGGAUCCUCCGGGCUAUUAAAUAGCCCUCUGGAAUCUUGCUAUUUAGGAUUAUUAAACGUAGAUUACCGACAAAACCGAUUCCAUAACCCCUAGGCUAUUUUGCGAUGUGUAUUUUCCAAAACCGAUUCCAUAAUCUAAUGAUGUAUAUUAAUCCAUGAUUAGCAGCUGAUUACUGUAGCAUUACUGUAGCAAAUCAUGGAUUAAUAUACCUCGUUAGAUUCGUCUCGCAAAAUAGCCUAGGGGUUAUGGAAUGGGUUUUGUCAGUAAUUUACGUUUAAUACUCUUAAAUAACGAGAUUCCGGACGGAUCCAAACAGGGCCAUUAAUACCUUUAUAUAUUUGCAGUUAUGGAAGACAAAGUGGCAGUUGGUGUAAAAUCUUACCAUUGCCUCCAACUGCAUUUCUUGAAGAGUAAAAGGCAUGUUAAUCUACAUGGCAGGAGCAUACAGACGUGUUACUAUAGCUCUGUCCUAAUGCAGUGACAUGAGUUCUCUUGCCAUGCCAUUUAGAGAAAAAGAAAAAGAGAAAUAAUUAUUGCAUCCAGAUCGUCCCUGGGUUACCCUGCCGUUAUUAGUGGACAAAAAGGCAGAACAAUGCCUGGCGGCGGGAUGCAGAGUGUUGCUUGGUGAUGGGAAUAGAGCAGCAUUUUGGACAUACAAUUGGUUACCGGAGGGAGGCUCAAUCCUGUCGAUGGCACCGAUCCUAUGCUCUUUUGUCAAAAAUAGGAGCCGUUCUGUGGCUGCAGCUCUCCAGGGCAAUGCUUGGGUUACUGACAUCAGGGGAGGUCUCUCAAUUCAGGCCAUCGCUGAAUAUCUCGCCAUCUGGGACUUGGUACAGGGUGUUUUCCUGGACACAUCGAGUUUGGUUGGCAGAGGCCAAUGGUGUUUUCUCAGUAAAAUCAGCCUACUCUCUUCUCUGUGCCGGCAAGACGAGGUCGGCAAUCGGGAAAAUCAUUUGGAAGUCUAGGGCGCCGACUAGAUGCAAGUUCUUCAUGUUUUUGGCGAUGCGAGGAGCUUGCUUGACCACUGACAAUCUCCAGCGACGGGGUUGGCAAAUGGCUUCGAUUUGUCAUUUAUGCUUGGCUGACGGUGAAUCCUGCUCACACAUCUUCCAUGACUGCCCCUUCACGCAGCAAGUUUGGACGCGGAUUCGUAGCCGGCUGGACCUCCCCUGUUCCACACCAUCGGAGGGUUUAAUCAAUUGGUGGUACACGGCUCGCAAAACUGUGCACAAGCAGGACCGAAAAACCUUCGACGCCGGGGUGAUCCUUGUGACGUGGCUUGUUUGGAAAGAACGCAAUGCUAGAAUCUUCGACGGAAAAGCUGCAUCGGCGGAGCAGGUUUGCGCAUCCAUCGCGGAGGAAUGGGAGUCUUGGAAGGCGGCGGGGCUUCUAUGCGCGAUCAGUGCGAGUGGCCCUCCGGUUGCUGGGAUCGGCUAGCUAGCUAGCGCGUGUGUAUGUGGUGAGCCAGUCUCCUGGUUCUGUAUGUGAGCUUUGGCUCUGUUUGUUUUCUUGCAUGUACAGUUUGCUUAAACUCUCUCUUUCUUAAUAUAUACCCCGGCCGGCUUUCGCCGGCCCA